rnacentral:rRNA from 1 species
GUCGAACGGUAACGCGGGGCAACCUGGCGACGAGUGGCGAACGGGUGAGUAAUAUAUCGGAACGUGCCCAGUCGUGGGGGAUAACUGCUCGAAAGAGCAGCUAAUACCGCAUACGACCUGAGGGUGAAAGCGGGGGAUCUUCGGACCUCGCGCGAUUGGAGCGGCCGAUAUCAGAUUAGGUAGUUGGUGGGGUAAAGGCCUACCAAGCCGACGAUCUGUAGCUGGUCUGAGAGGACGACCAGCCACACUGGGACUGAGACACGGCCCAGACUCCUACGGGAGGCAGCAGUGGGGAAUUUUGGACAAUGGGGGCAACCCUGAUCCAGCCAUGCCGCGUGCGGGAAGAAGGCCUUCGGGUUGUAAACCGCUUUUGUCAGGGAAGAAAUCCUUUGGGCUAAUAACUCGGAGGGAUGACGGUACCUGAAGAAUAAGCACCGGCUAACUACGUGCCAGCAGCCGCGGUAAUACGUAGGGUGCAAGCGUUAAUCGGAAUUACUGGGCGUAAAGCGUGCGCAGGCGGUUAUGCAAGACAGAUGUGAAAUCCCCGGGCUCAACCUGGGAACUGCAUUUGUGACUGCAUGGCUAGAGUACGGUAGAGGGGGAUGGAAUUCCGCGUGUAGCAGUGAAAUGCGUAGAUAUGCGGAGGAACACCGAUGGCGAAGGCAAU